CCUACGGGUGGCAGCAGUGAGGAAUAUUGGUCAAUGGACGAGAGUCUGAACCAGCCAAGUAGCGUGAAGGAUGACUGCCCUAUGGGUUGUAAACUUCUUUUAUAUGGGAAUAAAAUGUUCCACGUGUGGGAUUUUGUAUGUACCAUAUGAAUAAGGAUCGGCUAACUCCGUGCCAGCAGCCGCGGUAAUACGGAGGAUCCGAGCGUUAUCCGGAUUUAUUGGGUUUAAAGGGAGCGUAGGUGGAUUGUUAAGUCAGUUGUGAAAGUUUGCGGCUCAACCGUAAAAUUGCAGUUGAAACUGGCAGUCUUGAGUACAGUAGAGGUGGGCGGAAUUCGUGGUGUAGCGGUGAAAUGCUUAGAUAUCACGAAGAACUCCGAUUGCGAAGGCAGUUCACUGGACUGCAACUGACACUGAGGCUCGAAAGUGUGGGUAUCAAACAGUAUUAGAUACCCGUGUAGUC
rnacentral:rRNA from 1 species